UUAGACAGAACAGAUCCUGAUUAAAGAAAGGAAGAUGCAGAGUGCCCUGCACUGAAUUUGUCACCAGCCAGCAGAGGGAGUGUCUGAAGCUUCAGUGCAGGUCAGAGGCUGUAAAACUUGAAGAAAGGAGCCAAGAUCGCCAGAAAUACAGUGGUGGUAUUAUAGCAAACAUGAGAUCCUAAGUCCUUUUUCAAAGCGUGCCUGCUCCCUGCAAGAGGAGGAACAGUGGCCAACCCACUCAAUCAGCUGUUGCCAUGUGGGACCUGUGGCCCCAUGUCUGGAAUGCCAUUGAACUUGAAUUUGCCAGGGGAAGAUUUCUGACUCUCACAAAGGCCACCUGAGCCCUUGCUUGGAGCUACUUGUAUGCUUUUGGCUGAGGACAGUUAUCCCUAUUAUGAGAAGACCAUACUCACCAAUGAAGAUGUACCAUAAUGUGGAGAGAUGCAGGCAGCAGCGGAG
rnacentral:lncRNA from 10 species